UCUUUCGCCGCAUGAAAAAGGCUUGAAUACUGUUAGGAUUAUCAAUAAAAUACACCAUAUACAACCGACUCAACCAUUACAAGGUAGUCGUACCCCAACUGUGUGUCUCGCAUACGAAAAUCCUCAAUCGUGGAUCGAAAAUCAUGGUUGGAGAACUUUUUCCACAAAAGUGUACUCGCUUCAGUGUUUGACAUGUGUGCGUAACUGAAAAAAAAAAAAAAGGCUUGUGGAAGAGCUGCUGACGCUGUUGCUAACUUAGAAAUCCCACCAUGAGGAAAAAGUACGAAGAUUCGCGGAAAAGGAAAGCGUUUUACGCGGCUACCUCACUCUACUUCAGUAUCCAAACUCAAGAAGAGAACUAUAGAAAAGCAAAAACAGAAGAAAUCCCAAGAUCUUUCUUAUCAUCAAAUUCACACUAGAUACCUCUUGUUGUCUGGAUCGUUUUAACAUCGACAAAGGAUCCUCGCUAGUUGCCUAAGUCUAAGAAAGCUUACAAAUAUAAACAUUACCGUAGCUUUUUAUGUAAUCUCAGUGCUUUCAAUUGUACAUGGUCUGUUAGAGUUGUAGUUACAGCAUGUUGUCUAUUAUUGUGGAAUAAGCGGUCACACUUGA